UAGUUAAUUCUACGCAGCAACUUUCUCAAAUAGCAACUUUCUCAAAUAGAAUGGCAAUCACAUCCUCGUGGUGUGAUGCGUCUCUCGCCAAUUUUUAGCUCAACAACAACGAAACGAAAGGAUAUUACCCAGUUUAUGAGACAUAAUAUCCGGUGGUUAAAACUAAAAGUGGAGGGGCGAAAAAGAGGCGCAAAUUUUGUCAAAAAUUUCCCCGGCCCAAACCACUCCUCCCAGGAAAAAGAAAAAGAGAAACCCUUUGACACAAAGGAUUUUCAACUCUGGAUUUCCUUGAUAUGAAUCCAUUCAGUUUCGGAAGUCUGAAGUGGUAUUAACUUCAAAAGCUGAAAUAUACAUUCAUUACGCCUGGUGCCUUAGGAAGGAGAUAUGGGAGAAGUUUGAGAUCUUAUUGCUUCAAGGUCCAUUUGAUUCUGGAAGGUGAUUAGUAAGAGGUUAGAACAAGUAUAAAGAUCUUAAUUUGUGACGGCAAUAUGUACCCCUUGUGCAUGCACUUACGAGAAGACAUAUAUAUGAGAAGAUAAGUUGGAACACAUUAAAUGCAGUUAUUGGAGUUCUAAAGAAUGCGUCCUCGAAAACCGUGCCCAGCAAGUUGUAGCAGCUGAAAUUGUUGAAGCACAAGCGAACCCUACUUUGUUUGGACAGGGAUUGUUUGAAGAUGUAGUUUCUACAUGUUACAAUUCUAUUUUCCUAUUUUAGUAGAGAAAAAUAAUGUUAUGCAAGUUGGAUGGAUAUAUUUUCUGUAAUAUGAUGCUCUUGUUCUUUGACUGACCAUGAAAUUUAUAUAAAUAUUGAUAUGUUUUUGAA